rnacentral:rRNA from 1 species
UACGAAGGGGGCUAGCGUUGUUCGGAAUUACUGGGCGUAAAGGGCGCGUAGGCGGUCAGCACAAGUCAGUUGUGAAAUCUCCGGGCUUAACUCGGAAAGGUCAACUGAUACUGUGCGACUAGAGUGCAGAAGGGGCAACUGGAAUUCUCGGUGUAGCGGUGAAAUGCGUAGAUAUCAGGAGGAACACCGGUGGCGAAGGCGGGUCUCUGGGCCGAUACUGACGCUGAGGAGCGAAAGCGUGGGGAGCGAACAGG